UUCCUGAGUGGAAGAGACACACUAUAGAAGCGACUACAAAUUCCGCGGACUGGGAGCGAAGACGGCAAGGAUCCUAACUAGUUAUUUCUCACUAGGACAGGCUAAGCAUGGCCUCAGAGGAGGAGGCAGGUAGUUUCCGUCACGGCUGUUAAGGGGAGCUUCCUUAGUGAGGAAGUCGGCCGGCUGGCAGGGGGCCGGCAACUCCCGGUGGUCACCAGAGCUCUCCCCGUCCUGCCGCUCUCCGGCCCCAGCCUGAUCCUGCGCUCCCCCCGCCCCGCCCGGACAACCCAGGGCUCCGGGCGGCAGCGUGCCUUCCGGAUGCCGGAUUUCAUCCCCAGCAUGUUCCCAGGUUCUGCCUUCGCGUGCUCUAGGGGGGAACUUCCCGCACUGUUUUCCUGAGAUCACACCGGCUUGAAGAAACUUCGGCUCCUUUACCUAGAUAGUUGCUGCGUGUGUCCUACUUUGUCGUGGGAGGAACAAAACCCUUCUGUAGGCAGCGAAGAUAAAACAAAACAAAAAACAAAA